GGUAGGCGGGCGUCCCGGUGGCCUAGAAGGCGGGCCGUGAGGUCCGCUGGAGCCGCCGGGAAUGAGAAUCCCCGCGUGAGUAGGAGCAAAGAGGGGUGAGAAGCCCCUCCGCCGAAAGGGAAAAGGGUUCCCUGGCAAUGACCAUCAGCCAGGGGUGAGUCGGUCCUAAGGCCGGCGGUAACUCCGCUCGGCCGAAAGGGAAAGGGGUUAAUAUUCCCCUACCGCCCGGGUAGGCGCGGCAACGC
rnacentral:rRNA from 1 species